UACGUAGGUGGCAAGCGUUGUCCGGAUUUAUUGGGUUUAAAGGGUGCGUAGGUGGUCUAUUAAGUCAGUGCUGAAAUAUCCCGGCUUAACCGGGAGGGUGGCAUUGAUACUGAUGGACUUGAGUAAAGUUGAGGUAGGCGGAAUUGACGGUGUAGCGGUGAAAUGCUUAGAUAUCGUCAAGAACACCUAUUGCGAAGGCAGCUUACUAAGCUUUAACUGACACUGAUGCACGAAAAGUGUGGGGAGUCAAACAGG
rnacentral:rRNA from 1 species